UGGGGAAUUUUGGACAAUGGGCGCAAGCCUGAUCCAGCAAUGCCGCGUGAGUGAAGAAGGCCUUCGGGUUGUAAAGCUCUUUUGUCAGGGAAGAAACGGUGGGAGCUAAUAUCUCCUACUAAUGACGGUACCUGAAGAAUAAGCACCGGCUAACUACGUGCCAGCAGCCGCGGUAAUACGUAGGGUGCAAGCGUUAAUCGGAAUUACUGGGCGUAAAGCGUGCGCAGGCGGUUUUGUAAGUCUGUCGUGAAAGCCCCGGGCUCAACCUGGGAAUUGCGAUGGAGACUGCAAGGCUUGAAUCUGGCAGAGGGGGGUAGAAUUCCACGUGUAGCAGUGAAAUGCGUAGAGAUGUGGAGGAACACCGAUGGCGAAGGCAGCCCCCCGGGGUCAAGAUUGACGCUCAUGCACGAAAGCGUGGGGAGCAAACAGGAUUAGAUACCCAAGUAGUCCCUGAGCGGGCUGGCAAGGCGCAU
rnacentral:rRNA from 1 species